rnacentral:rRNA from 1 species
UACAGAGGUGCCAAGCGUUAGGCGGAAUCACUGGGCUUAAAGCGCGUGUAGGCGGGUCGUUAAGUGUCCGAGUGAAAUCCCACGGCUCAACCGUGGAACUGCCGGGCAUACUGGCGAUCUUGAGGCAUUCAGGGGCGAGCGGAACAAAUGGUGGAGCGGUGAAAUGCGUAGAUAUCAUUUGGAACGCCAAUGGUGAAAACAGCUCGCUGGGAAUGAUCUGAUGCUGAGACGCGAAAGCCAGGGGAGCGAACGGG